UCCCUUUUUCCUUUACCCUAAUAUAAACUUCCUUCUCUACCUCCGAAUCCCACCUAACACCUAUUUUUAACAAACCCCCAGCUCAACGAAAAUAAGGCAAAAGGAAUCUGCUAAGAAACCCAGCGAACUCAUACCCAAAUGACGACUUGCUGAUGGGAUGACACCGCAAAAACAAUUACCUUCUAUAGCACCCAAACCACAGGUCGCACAAGGGGAACAUGCUCCAUCCCACGAUGCAAGCACCUCUGUGACGACUAAUCAACAAUGUCACAGCACUGUAAUCAAUGUUUUUUACUCCCCAAUAAGAGGACCCAACACUCAAAAAGUCGAACCAAGCUAAGCAAACAAACAACCCGAUCGACAACAAUCUAUAGCAGAAGAGCCCACUGGUGAAGAUGCAGAACUUGAGAAAACUCAAAAGCGGGCAUGGGUCAAGAAGGGCAAACAUGUUCUCGCACCUUCUGAAUCCAAACUGUGCAGCCACCUCACCUUCCAAGAUGAUUUAGAAAAUGAAAGGACCGAUCAUGGAGAACCACUUUUUACAAUCUAGAGAUUGAGAAAACCAAAAAUCUAAGAAAAUAGACCAAAGAAAAUAGGCAGACACAUCAAGACAACACUUUAUCCCCUACACCCGAAACAGAAAACAUGAAACAAAAACGUACAUUGAGGGAGCUUACAGCCCACCCACAAACCAGCAGCCCCUUUGCAUCACCUGCCAGAUUUAGAUGUUCAUUUUGACUUAAAAUCUAGUUUGAUCCAUAUACUACCAAGUUUCAAGGUAUAGAGAAUGAAAAACCACACAAAUAUAUUAAGAAAUUCCAUGUGGUCUGCUCCAGCAUAAAACCCUAAGGCGUAUCUGAAGACCAAAUCAAGCGACGAGCAUUUUCAUUCUCCUUGGAUGAAGUGGCCAAAGAACGGUUCUUUUACCUAUAUCCCGGAUCAAUCACGACUUCAGUGGAGAUGAUAAAAGCCUUUCUAGAUCGCUUCUUCCUUACUUUUAGAGCUGUCGGGAUAAGGAGGGGGAUAUGUGGAUCAAGCAAGAGAUUCAGAAAGUCUCUAUGAUUAUUAAGAAAGAUUCAAGCGAUUGUGCAUAAGUUGCCCACAACAUGAUAUCUUAGAACAAUUUCUCAUUCACUAUAUUUAUGAUGGACUACUACCCACAGAAAGAAGAAUGUUAGAUGCAACAUGUGGUUGUGCUAUAGUGAACAAAACACUUCAAGAAGCUAGAGAAUUGAUAGCCAUCAUGGCCGCCACUUUGCAGUAGUUCAGAAACACGCGAGACACUUUGAGAAGGAUGAAUGAGGGACAGAGAAUUCAUGUGCUGGAGUUGAAAGAAGCCAAACUCUGAAAUAGCCUAACAAGCCUUGCCAAGGCUUGUGUCUGGCCCAUAAGACAUGAUCGUAUGCUUGGGAGAUAUGGCCGCAUGCAUGCCUGACAUGAAUGUGUGUCAAUCUACACAUAAGCCUUGCCCAAGGCUUGUGCCAGACCCUUAAGGCAUGAUCGUGUGUUACCAAAAAAGUGUUUCUGUGAGGAAACCACAUCUGUAUGCCUACCCAGAAUGGUCGUGUCAUGUCUACAAAAAGGAAAACAACGAAAUUCUAAAAAAACACGAUCAUGUGCAUGUUCGACACGACCGUGUGUCAUUCCCCACAUAAGCAUUGCUUAAGGCUUAUAUCACAUGACAACACAUUUGGUAGUUCUCAAAAUGUGAUGUUUCCCGGUGCAUCCCACCUCCAAGUCAAGUAACUAAAGGAGUUAAUCUGUCACUUCAUUUUUAUUUUUCAUUAUUUGCUUCAGAUUACAGACAAUAUAUAGUUUAAGUGUAAGGGAGAGGCAUUCUACAUUCUACAUUCUACAUUCUGCAUCUUAAGUAUCUAGUUUUCCUUUUUGCCA